rnacentral:rRNA from 1 species
AAGACGAGAAGACCCCGUCGAGCUUGAAUGAAGCUUCCACUAUGGUAACCGAAAUUUUAAUUGGGGCAAUUGCGGAAAAGAUAACCUCCGCUUUUAUGUGAGGAUCCAUUACUUAUGAAUAAAGAAAAAGCUACCGCGGGGAUAACAGCGCAAGAUUGCUUUAGAGGCCUUAUCGACGGCAAUAAUUGCGACCUCGAUGUUG